UACGAAGGGGGUUAGCGUUGCUCGGAAUCACUGGGCGUAAAGCGCACGUAGGCGGAUCUUUAAGUCAGGGGUGAAAUCCCAAGGCUCAACCUUGGAACUGCCUUUGAUACUGGGGAUCUCGAGUCCGGAAGAGGUUGGUGGAACUGCGAGUGUAGAGGUGAAAUUCGUAGAUAUUCGCAAGAACACCAGUGGCGAAGGCGGCCAACUGGUCCGGUACUGACGCUGAGGUGCGAAAGCGUGGGGAGCAAACAGG
rnacentral:rRNA from 1 species